GACGAACGCUGGCGGCGUGCCUAAUACAUGCAAGUUGAGCGCUGAAGGUUGGUACUUGUACCAACUGGAUGAGCAGCGAACGGGUGAGUAACGCGUGGGGAAUCUGCCUUUGAGCGGGGGACAACAUUUGGAAACGAAUGCUAAUACCGCAUAAAAACUUUAAACACAAGUUUUAAGUUUGAAAGAUGCAAUUGCAUCACUCAAAGAUGAUCCCGCGUUGUAUUAGCUAGUUGGUGAGGUAAAGGCUCACCAAGGCGAUGAUACAUAGCCGACCUGAGAGGGCGAUUGGCCACCUUGGGACUGAGACCCGGCCCAAACUCCUACGGGAGGCAGCAGUAGGGCAUCUUCGGCAAUGGACGAAAGUCUGACCGAGCAACGCCGCGUGAGGGAAGAAGGUUUUCGGAUCGUAAAACUCUGUUGGUAGAGAAGAACGUUGGUGAGAGUGGAAAGCUCAUCAAGUGACGGUAACUACUCAGAAAGGGACGGCUAACUACGUG
rnacentral:rRNA from 1 species